UAAGCAGUACCCUGAGGAGGACACUGAACGU
rnacentral:piRNA from 1 species